AGUGAACGCUGGCGGUAGGCCUAACACAUGCAAGUCGAACGGCAGCACAGUAAGAGCUUGCUCUUACGGGUGGCGAGUGGCGGACGGGUGAGGAAUACAUCGGAAUCUACUUUUUCGUGGGGGAUAACGUAGGGAAACUUACGCUAAUACCGCAUACGACUUACGGGUGAAAGCAGGGGAUCUUCGGACCUUGCGCGAUUGAAUGAGCCGAUGUCGGAUUAGCUAGUUGGCGGGGUAAAGGCCCACCAAGGCGACGAUCCGUAGCUGGUCUGAGAGGAUGAUCAGCCACACUGGAACUGAGACACGGUCCAGACUCCUACGGGAGGCAGCAGUGGGGAAUAUUGGACAAUGGGCGCAAGCCUGAUCCAGCAAUACCGCGUGGGUGAAGAAGGCCUUCUGGUUGUAAAGCCCUUUUGUUGGGAAAGAAAAGCAGCAGGUUAAUACCCCGCUGUUCUGACGGUACCCAAAGAAUAAGCACCGGCUAACUUCGUG
rnacentral:rRNA from 1 species